AAAAAAAAAUCAAUAAAAUAUAUUUUAGAAAAACCACAAAAAAACCCCCAGUAACAGUUGAACAGGGGACAUAAUAGAGAGCAUAGAGUGAGUUAGAGAGUGUUCUUCAGUUUGGAAGUACAGCUGACCCUGAACAACACAGGUUUGAACUGCAAUGGUCUACAUAUACACAAUUUUGCAAUAGUCAGUCAGCCAUCUGUAUCUCCAGGUUUCACAUUAACAAAUUCAACCAACCACGAUUGAAAACAGUAUUUCUAGGGAUGCAGACAGGUGACUGAAUGCAUUCUAUGCCAUUUUGUUUAAGGGACUUGGGCAUCUUCAGAUUUUGGUAUCUGCAGGGGCUGGAAGACAUAGAACCAAUUCCCUGUGGAUACUGAGGGACAACUGAAGUUUUUGGAGUCAAAAGUUGUGAAUUUCAGACUGCGUAAUGGGUUGCUGCCCCUGACUCCGAUGCUGUUCAAAGAAGGGAGAUGGGUACUUCACGUCUUGGCUGCUAAAAGGACAAUUAACAGAUGACUUGUGGAUAAGUGCAUUACGCCCUUCAGUGACAAGUGACGAUCCAAGGGAACCCACUGGAAUGAAGAUAUUCCCCACUCCAGACUAUACUCUGAGGACUUCACCAUCAUCUGAAGGGCCCACAGCACAGUUUGUUCUAGAAAAACCUGAUUUCUGGUCUUAAAAACCUCCUAACUGAAUGAACUUGAACAAGUAGAUGAAACUUCUGUGCCAUUUCUUCACUGAUAAAAUGGGGUAAUAAUAUCUGCAUACAAGACCAUUGUGAAAGAUUCUAUCAUAUAAAAAAUGCUCUUUCCCUUUCCUCUGAUUUCAAUUUAAAAAAAUUACAAAUUUAGUCACCUUACAGCAGAAGACUAAAUUGCUGGGGGAGAAGUGUGGGAGUAACAUUAUAGUAAUUGAAAAUAUUGGUACUUGGUAGGAAGUUAAAUUUAUUUCAUCACUUGCUGUGUGUGACUUUGGUUAGUUUAGAUCAUAUCCUUUUAAAAUUUGCCAUCUU